rnacentral:rRNA from 1 species
GACGAACGCUGGCGGCGUGCUUAACACAUGCAAGUCGAGCGGUAAGGCCCUUUCGGGGGUACACGAGCGGCGAACGGGUGAGUAACACGUGGGUGACCUGCCCUCAGCUCUGGGAUAAGCCUGGGAAACCGGGUCUAAUACUGGAUAUGACUCCAUGACGCAUGUUGUGGGGUGGAAAGCCUUGUGCGGCUGAGGAUGGGCCCGCGGCCUAUCAGCUUGUUGGUGGGGUGAUGGCCUACCAAGGCGACGACGGGUAGCCGGCCUGAGAGGGCGACCGGCCACACUGGGACUGAGACACGGCCCAGACUCCGUACGGGAGGCAG